UGAGGAAUAGCUAUUGGUCAAUGGACGGAAGUCUGAACCAGCCAUGCCGCGUGCAGGAUGACGGCUCUAUGAGUUGUAAACUGCUUUUGUACGAGAAUAAUAGUUCUUACGUGUAGGGAUUUGAAUGUAUCGUACGAAUAAGGAUCGGCUAACUCCGUG
rnacentral:rRNA from 1 species